rnacentral:rRNA from 1 species
CCUACGGGUGGCUGCAGUGGGGAAUAUUGCGCAAUGGGCGAAAGCCUGACGCAGCGACGCAGCGUGAGGGACGAAGGCCUUCGGGUUGUAAACCUCUUUCAGCGGGGACGAAGCGAAAGUGACGGUACCCGCAGAAGAAGCACCGGCUAACUACGUGCCAGCAGCCGCGGUAAUACGUAGGGUGCAAGCAUUGUCCGGAUUUAUUGGGCGUAAAGAGCUCGUAGGCGGCUUGUCACGUCGGAUGUGAAAACUCGGGGCUCAACCCCGAGCCUGCA